rnacentral:tRNA from 2 species
GUCUUUGUAGUAUAACAAUUACCUUGGUUUUGUAAACCAAAAAUGGAGAAUCAAACCCUCCCCAAGACU